GCCGCCAUGGUGAAAUUGGUAGACACGCUGCUCUUAGGAAGCAGUGCUCAAGCNGCUCUUAGGAAGCAGUGCUCAAGCAUCUCGGUUCGAAUCCGAGUGGCGGCA
rnacentral:tRNA from 1 species